rnacentral:rRNA from 1 species
AUUGCCUCAGUAACGGCGAGUGAAGCGGCAAAAGCUCAAAUUUGAAAUCUAGCACUUUCAGUGUUCGAGUUGUAAUUUGAAGAAGGUAACUUUGGUUUUGGCUCUUGUCUAUGUUCCUUGGAACAGGACGUCACAGAGGGUGAGAAUCCCGUGCGAUGAGAUGCCCAAUUCCAUGUAAAGUGCUUUCGAAGAGUCGAGUUGUUUGGGAAUGCAGCUCUAAGUGGGUGGUAAAUUCCAUCUAAAGCUAAAUAUUGGCGAGAGACCGAUAGCGAACAAGUACAGUGAUGGAAAGAUGAAAAGAACUUUGAAAAGAGAGUGAAAAAGUACGUGAAAUUGUUGAAAGGGAAGGGCUUGAGAUCAGACUUGGUAUUUUGCGUUCCCUUCCUUUUUGGUUGGGUUCCUCGCAGUUUACUGGGCCAGCAUCGGUUUGGAUGGUAGGAUAAUGACAUUGGAAUGUAGCUUUACUUCGGUGAAGUGUUAUAGACUUUGUUGAUACUGCCUAUCUAGACCGAGGACUGCGUCUUUGACUAGGAUGCUGGCGUAAUGAUCUUAAGCCACCCGUCUU